rnacentral:lncRNA from 10 species
GUCUUUCAACAUUUUAAAAGAGAUUGAAAUUGAAAACGAGAAUUAUAAAAGGCAACCGAUCACGCUUUGCUCCCCCCUUCAAAAGAAAGAAGUGUUGAAAAUGAAAAAGACUGUUAACCAAAUGAGUGCUGCUUUUAGAGUUGGAAGAGAACCAGUCCAGGCCAUGUGUGGUGCUCCUGUGCGGUGGUUGUGAUCCCGAGCAAGUCACUGAACCACUCAGCCCAUGAAACAAGCCGAGCAUGCACCUCUCAGGGCCAUAGGGAGGCCAGCGUGAGAAAAGCACGGAGAAAGCUUCAGUGAACCCCAAGUUGCUGCCCGGAUCCAGCGUCUGGUGGCUCUCACUGUGACUGUGGUUAGGCGGCCUUGACAUGUUGCUGUCAUGCCCGCCACUGAGAGAAACAAGGGAAUGAGUAUCAAGGAUGACCCAGGGCAGGCAGUGGGGUUUCCAGGGCAGGGCCUCUCCUGGGGAAGCCCAUCUUCUCCCACCUCUCAUGCAGUGAGAUUGGCUGCAGCCACUGUGAUGGCCUAGGGCAUGGAUUACACCGUGCUCUGCCCUGCUUGACUGACUUGGUUAUCUUCGCUCCUCACCAUCCCCUCCCUGUUCCUUCUUGGAAAUGGAAUGGCUCUUCUCAGCACAGCCACCCAGCCCCUGCACCCAGCCUCUGUGCCAAGCUGGCAGGAUAACGAAUGGCUCCACCUCCUCCUCGCCUCCGUCAGGAGGGGCUCUGAGCAACCCUCUGCUCACAGCCCUCUGUGGUUUCCCCUUAUCCUCCUUGGAGCUGCAUGGAGACUGCUUGUCUAGACAUUGAGAUGGCUUUACCAGGUGUCGCUCACUGCAUUGGGUUCCCUUCACGUUCAGCACCUACUGAAUACCCAGGAUAAUAACUGCACCACUGCGGGGUGCAGGAGGUGUCCCCAAAUGUCCAUAAGUGUACACACAUAUGUGCACACAUGCACAUGGGAAACUUUUAUUUAUUUAUUUAUUUAUUUAUUUAUUUAUUUAUUUUUGGAGACAGGGUCUCAUUCUGUCACCCAGGCUGGAGUGCAAUGGCACAAUCUCAGCUCACUGCAACCUCCACCUCCCAGGUUUAAGUGAUUCUCCUGCCUCAGCCUCCGGAGUAGCUGGGAUUACAAUAUGUGCCACCAUGCCCGGCUAAUUUUUGUAUUUUUAGUAGAGAUGGGUUUUUGCCACAUUGGCCAGGCUGGUCUCAAACACUUGACCUCAGGUGAUUCACCUGCCUCGGUCUCCCAAAGUGCUGGGAUUACAGGCAUAAGCCACUGUGUCUGGCCCAAUUUUUUAAAAUAUAAUAACAACUCUGGUGGGGAGCAAUGGCUCAUGCCUGUAAUCCCAACACUUUGGGAGGCCAGAGUGGGUGGAUCACUUGAGGUCAGGAGUUUGAGACCAGCCUGACCAACAUGGUGAAACCCUUCUCUACUAAAAAUACAAAAUUAGCUGGGCAUGGUGGUGCAUGCUGUAAUCCCAGCUAUUCGGGAGGCUGAGGCAGGAUAAUCGCUUGAACCCAGAAGAUGGAGGUGGCAGUGAGCCGAGAUCGUGCCACUGCACUUCAGCCUGGGCAACAAGAGCAAAACUUCGUCUCAAAAAAAAAACAAAAAAACAAAAAACAAUAAUAGUAAAAGUAAUAGUAACAACUCUGGUAAAACAGACAUCAGAUGUUUUCCAGUUUUCUUCCCUUGUUGAAUGAACCUGGACUGCAGCCCAAGGGGAUGUUAUCUUUCCCUUGUACCUAGAGAUUCCUAAAGCCUCUCUGAAGGACAGGCUACUAUAGCAAAAUACCAUUAAACUAGAUGGCUUAUACACAACAGAAAUGUCUCACAGGUCUGGGGGCUGAGAAGUCCAAAACCAAGGCAGAUUUGGUUUGGUGAAGGCCACUUUCUGGUUCAUAGAUAGUGCCUUCCAGCUGUGUCCUCCCAUGGAGGAAGGAGCAAGGCAGCUCCCUGGGGUCUCUUUGAUCAGGGCACUAAUACUCUACCCAUGAGGACUCUACUCUCGUGACCUAAUCACCUCCCAAAGUUGCCACCUCCUAAUACAAUCAUGUUGGGGAUUAGGCUUCAACAUAGGAUUCAACAUUAGGAUUCAACAUGAAUCUGGGAGGAUACAACAUUCAAACCACAGCAGAGAGUUUCACAAUGAAUAGUUGUUUCUUUUCUAUCUCCCUUACUAUCAUAUAAGCUCUGGGAGCAUAGAGAUCUGGUCUUGUUCAUUUUCUAUGUUUAGUUUUAAUACAGUUCCUGGUACUUAUCAGGUGCUCAAUACAUGUUUGUUGAAUGAAUGAAUGAAUGUACCAGGCACUGUGCUGAGUACUGGGAAGAACAUGGACCCUCAGCCAUGGGCCCUCUGCCUUGGUAGGAAAGUCUAAGAUUACACAAAAAACAACAUUCUAAAAUAGUCAUCCAUAAGAAAGGAAAGGGGGCUGGAAGCAGUGGCUCAGGCUUGUAAUCCCAGCACUUUGGGAGGCUGAGGCGGGCGGAUUGCUUUAGCCUAAGAGCUGGAGACCAGCCUGGGCAACAUGGUGAAAUCUUGUCUCUAUAAAAAAUACAAAAAUUAGCUGGGCAUGGUGGUGCAAGCCUGUAGUCCAAGCUACUCUGGAGGCUGAGGUGGGAAGAUCACCUGAGCCCAGGGAGGUUGAGGCUGCAGUAAGCCAUGAUUGUGCUACUGCACUCCACCCUGGGCUACAGAGUGAGAUCCUGUCUCAAAACAAAGGGGGGGACAGGGGGAACUCACUUUAUGAAGUGCCUACUACUCACCAGGCACAUGCUAAGUACUCUGUGAGCACUACCUCAUUUAAACCCAAAAUUACCCUACAGGGCAAAUCCUAUCAUCCUCCUUUGCAGAGGAGGCACCGGAAGCUCAAAGAGGUUAUGUAGCUUGUCUGAGGGUAUCCCGGGGGUGAGUGAUCGAGCCUGGACUUCUACCCACCCAGUGCUGCCAGACUCGAAAGCCCAAACUCUUUCCACUUCACCAGUCAAGCUCCAGGAGUGAUAUAAGGUGUGCCUGUUUGUCUGUCUGUCCUCUGGAGAGUGUAAGUUUCCUGAGGACAGGGAUAAGGUCUCAUUUACCAUGAUACCUCCCAGAGCUUAGCAAGUGCCUGUAACAUAAUACUUGUUCAAUAAAUUGACUGGUCUUGCAGCCACCUGCAGAUGGCAUCAGAGGAGAUCUAGUCAUAGAUAGUGAAUUGAUCGCAGUCUGGAACAAUGGGGCAUGGAGAAGUUCAUCUCUUCUGCCCUCAUUUCCCCACAGCCUUUAUGCCUCU